UACGUAGGGCGCAAGCGUUGUCCGGAAUUAUUGGGCGUAAAGAGCUCGUAGGCGGCUUGUCACGUCGGGUGUGAAAGCCCGGGGCUUAACCCCGGGUCUGCAUUCGAUACGGGCAGGCUAGAGUGUGGUAGGGGAGAUCGGAAUUCCUGGUGUAGCGGUGAAAUGCGCAGAUAUCAGGAGGAACACCGGUGGCGAAGGCGGAUCUCUGGGCCAUUACUGACGCUGAGGAGCGAAAGCGUGGGGAGCGAAUGGG
rnacentral:rRNA from 1 species